AUGCUGGUUUCAAGGAGGUUCGUCGCGCGAGCAUCUCCUGGCACCCAGAUUUGUCACGAACGGGCGGAAGCCUUCUCAUGAUGUUGCCGAUCGAAGUUGAAGCGGAGAUUCGGUGAAGCGGAACCUUGCAAGCGGGCGCGGGUUCGCGCACGCUCACGAUCGGCACCAAUGUCAUCCACAAGGAGCGGGUGCAAGAGCCGGCUGGUCGGCCAACUGCGCGCUUCUUUCAUGCAGGUUCUCUAUGCCCGCGUCGCCUUCAUAUGACGCGUAUCAGCCCGAACAUGCCGCCGGACUGAUGCUCCA
rnacentral:misc_RNA from 1 species